rnacentral:rRNA from 1 species
UGGGGAAUCUUGGACAAUGGGGGCAACCCUGAUCCAGCCAUGCCGCGUGAGUGAUGAAGGCCUUAGGGUUGUAAAGCUCUUUCAACGGUGAAGAUGAUGACGGUAGCCGUAGAAGAAGCCCCGGCUAACUCCGUGCCAGCAGCCGCGGUAAUACGGAGGGGGCAAGCGUUGUUCGGAAUUACUGGGCGUAAAGGGCACGUAGGCGGCGAUGCGGGUCAGGUGUGAAAGCCCCGGGCUCAACCUGGGAACUGCACUUGAAACUGCAUUGCUUGAGGACGGAAGAGGAGAAUGGAAUUCCCAGUGUAGAGGUGAAAUUCGUAGAUAUUUGGAGGAACACCAGUGGCGAAGGCGGCUCACUGGCUCGAUACUGACGCUGAGGUGCGAAAGUGUGGGGAGCAAACAGGAUUAGAUACCCUGGUAGUCCACACCGUAAACGAUGAAUGCCAGUCGUCGGGUAGCAUGCUAUUCGGUGACACACCUAACGGAUUAAGCAUUCCGCCUGGGGAGUACGGUCGCAG